rnacentral:rRNA from 1 species
UACGGAGGAUGCAAGCGUUAUCCGGAUUUAUUGGGCGUAAAGCGUCCGCAGGUGGUUGUUCAAGUCUGCUGUUAAAGCGCGAGGCUUAACCUUGUACAGGCAGUGGAAACUGAGCGACUAGAGUAUGGUAGGGGUAGCGGGGAUUCCCAGUGUAGCGGUGAAAUGCGUAGAUAUUGGGAAGAACACCAGCGGCGAAAGCGCGCUACUGGGCCAUUACUGACACUCAUGGACGAAAGCUAGGGGAGCGAACAGG